GUUUCUUUCUACCUAACUAGACAAUGGAAGUUUAUCUAUGGAAUUUCCAUAUCCAUACGAAAACACUCAUGCGAAUAUGUUCGUAUAUUUCUUUUUUUUUUCGGGCUUUUGGCUCCACCUAAACUUUUGCUUACUCCAUGUGGCUGUAGGAAAAUCAGAUUUCAUCCACGCCGAGGCCUAAGCGAGGGGCUGGCCCAUCGUUUAGCUUAAAUUGCAAGUCUGUCAAUAUUUGCCAGCGAAUGAGGCAAACCAGAAGCAAGAGCAAUUUUCGGUGUUUUCGUUGAAAAAUAGCCUAACAAAUUGAAAUUAAUCUAAAGCGAUUAAAAUAUUGACACUAAUUGAAAAAACGGCAAACAGAACUGGUGUUUGUUUUCAUCGAAUUGAACUCGAUAAGGAAUGAAUUACGGUGCAAGCAUCUUGUGACUUUAAGGACCAGCCCUGCGCAACUUUAAGUUGGACUCGUGUGGAUGAAUCGAUGGGUGGGCAACUGGGGGACAGCUAGUGAGAUUUAUAAGAAGUGAAAUUAAUGUGGCAGCGCGUCGCGAAACGCAAAACGGGCAAAAAAUAAGACACAGGAAAGUUGGGACAGGGCCCGGCCAGCGGCAACACAAAAAAAUCUGCACUGCGAUGAUUGCCAAGGGCGAGAGUCGCGGCACGAGGAGUAGGAGCAGGCCCGUUGGCGGCUUUUUCGCCAUCUUCAGCCAAAUGCGAAUCGAAUUUAUUUUAUUUAGAGCUCCAACAUCGUCGUCCUCGUGCCAUACAUACAUAUACAUAUAAAGUGUGGGAGAAGGGGAAACUUUUCGCGCUUAGUUGCCUUCCAAAAGCACAAAAACACUUUGCCCACUUUCUUAGAUUUCUUUAUAUCGUACGCUUUUCCAUGGCUGAAGAUAUUUUCAAAGUUUUUCCCUCUCCACGCGUCUUUUGGUUCUUCCUAGUGCUGGUCCUGCCAACUUAUCGCAUUGUGAGGGCCAAAAAUUCCGGAAAUUGAAAUGAAGCAGCAGCCGCCAAAGGAGCUGUCUCCAGCCGGGCAGACUAGUGACUCAUUGUUAGAGUUCCA
rnacentral:lncRNA from 1 species